CUCGCAUACUAGCCAGCUCAUUUUCCAAAUCUUGUUCAUGGUGUUUUGUUUCAUCAAGCCUUCUUCUUAGUUCCGCUUCUAUUUGAUCUUUUGCGGAUAGAGCAGCUUCCAACGCAGCUUCUCUUUGGAAUCCAGCUUUAAGAUCUCUGACAACAAUUAGAUUUGCAACAAGCCACUUUUGCAGCUGCCAGAUCACCACUCAGUUCUGCAUUCUCACAGGAAAGCUUGGUUACUUCUUCAGCCAGGUUUCGGAGUUCAACAGCUGCAGCAGCUGCCAACUCUUUUGCAUAUGAAGCUUCUUGUGCAAGUGUGUGACUCUGAAUUUCAAGCCCAUCUUUUUCUUCAGCCAAUCUCACCUUCUCUUGCCUCAAAUUCUCUAUUUCAGCUGCCUACACAGUGCCAUAGUGAAAAGAUUAAAAGAAAAACCACUUCCUACAGAAACCAAGCGAUGUGUUUUCAUAUUUAUCUCUAAUGAUGGAGGUAAUUUCAUUUCACAAAAAAGUUCUGCAGCAAUGCCCAAAAAAGUGUGUGUGUGUGAGAGAGAGAGAGAGAGAGAGACCUGCAUAAGAAUCUGAGAACUAUAAAUGGAAUUACUGCUGCCCUGCGUGGAGUGCUCCUGAAUAUUUGAGUUUGCGACGCUAGAAGGUUCAUGAGUCUCUUCCGACAUCACUUCAAAACACAUGUUAUGUGGCUCAGUCUCACUUUCGGCCAAUGGUUGAUAAUUAUCUGAGGAAAUGAAUAUUAUCCUUGCCUCAGACAUGUCACUGUUAUUCGGUGCAAAUGCUGUCAUCCGAAGUGGUUCUAGCAUACGCUGCUCCAGAAUACGGAUUUGGUCUUUCUUUUGGCUAAUUUCAUCCUUCAACUUCUGCAUGUGCUCCUGCCAUCGUCACCAGAACAGCCAUAUUAAUUUUGAUAAUAAAAACAGUUUUCAAGUUCUCAUUUGACUAUCCUAAAGAGUAGCUCACUCGCAGCUGUGAAUCUUCAGGACCGCCAACAGCUUGUUCAGAAAGUCGUUUCAGAGAACUGGUACAUAGUGCCACCUCUCCAGCCAACAUUUUUACUUGUUCGCGAAGGAGAUCCAUUUGAUCAGUCAUUGUGCUCCCAGUCUGCGAAAUAGUCAUUCAGCACAUUUAUAUCAGAUUAAUCCAUUUUAUAAGAUGUAUAAACAUCUGUCCUGUUUAUUUUUUCACUAGUAUUUAGAGACCUUACCCAAGGAA